AAGACUCAACUCGGAAAGCAUUUAUUAACUGCAUCACUAACGCUUUCACUUUCUUCACGUUGCCCUAGUUGGCCCUAUCUCUGUGCUCACAGUUUUCUAUGUCUUAUCUGAGACUGUCAAUUACUUGAGGUCAGAGACUACGCCCUUUGCUAUUUCUGUAAGCCUGGUACAUUGUGCAGAAUUGCCUCUAUAGUCGAUGAACAAUCGAUAUGUGUAAGUAAAUCAAUGUAGGGAUAAAUGGAUGCUAGAUAGGAACAGUAAGGAAUAGAAACAGGUGUCUUACAUUUUCACAAUGCCUUAAAUUUUCUAUAUUGUGAAAUCUGUUUGUUUGUUUUGGUUCCUUAUACAGAUAAGAACAGGGAGGAUCAGAGACAAUCUAAGUCACCCAAGGUCAAAGUCAUAUCCCAGGUCACCGGCAAAGGCGGUGGACAAUUCCGGUCGUCUGGGGCAGGACCUGCUCUCUUUUCUAACACCAGGCCUCAGGCCAUCUACAGUAGUUCUCAGCAUCUCAUGAUGCAGGUAACAUUCCACCUUUCAGGAAAGGACAGCCCAGAGAAAUGAGGCCUGAGUGAAAAGUGUGGUCAGGGCUGCAAACUGAUCAAUAUCCAGACCUUGAACCCACACAUCUCCUGGCUCCUGACCUUACUGCUUUGUGGGCACAAAAAGUGCCUGAGAGUGAACUUAACAUCUCCAUUCACCAGGAAUGACCUUGCUGAAUAGUCAGUGUAAGUGUCCUGGUCUGGGUGCUGGAUUAUUUGGUCACCUGCCUAGCCCAGCAGACAUGACUUUUGUGAGUUCUUCCUAACUUGUAGGAGGAGUGGUGGAAAGGUCAGAGUGGCCUAGAGACACAACUCCCAAACUUCAAGAAGCAGUUUCCAGCCUCCUCCUGUGGAGUGCAUGGUCCAGGAAAACACUUUCACACAAAGCUGUGGAAACAAUCUUAUGUUUAGCCAGUGGUUGGCUUCAGUAGUCAGUAAAGGCUUGUGAACAGAGGAGCUUGACCUGAUCUGAAUUCUACAACUUCCUUCAGAUUGUUC
rnacentral:lncRNA from 1 species